GAGUUUGAUCGUGGCUCAGAUUGAACGCUGGCGGCAUGCCUUACACAUGCAAGUCGAACGGUAACAGGUCUUCGGACGCUGACGAGUGGCGAACGGGUGAGUAAUACAUCGGAACGUGCCCAGUCGUGGGGGAUAACUACUCGAAAGAGUAGCUAAUACCGCAUACGAUCUGAGGAUGAAAGCGGGGGACCUUCGGGCCUCGCGCGAUUGGAGCGGCCGAUGGCAGAUUAGGUAGUUGGUGGGAUAAAAGCUUACCAAGCCGACGAUCUGUAGCUGGUCUGUAGAGGACGACCAGCCACACUGGGACUGAGACACGGCCCAGACUCCUACGGGAGGCAGCAGUGGGGAAUUUUGGACAAUGGGCGAAAGCCUGAUCCAGCAAUGCCGCGUGCAGGAUGAAGGCCUCGGUUGUAACU
rnacentral:rRNA from 1 species